AUUCUUGAUGUUUUCUUUGAAAGGAAUUCUGAUUUUCCCUCUUUAUUCCAGGGAUAUUAGAAUAUUUGUAUGGCCUCUCAGGAACAGGCUUUCAUUAGCUGCGAGUCCAGAAGGGAAUUUACAGAGGAAGGCAAGGCCAGAAGCCGAAGUGUAAGAACAUGUGUCUUGAUGUGCCUGACUUUUAAGGGAAAACCGAAUCCCCCCGUUGGCACACGUGAAUCCCUCCCGCGGUCCCUCUGAAGCUUCCCAGCCAGAAGAGGGACGUGUGACACGGCAGCGUCGGCGUUUUGUUAUGAAGUAGCCAUGCGCCCACUGCUGACAAAAAGAAGGCAGGAAAAAAAUGUACAGAUGCCUGGAAAUGUUUUUGUAUCAGUCCCAGUGGCCUGCCAUGAAAGAUAUAUAGCCACUUCUAAGAAUUUGACAACACUUCAGCAACAAUUAUCCAGACAGCCUUUGUUUCCUGGCUCUGAUGAUGUUUCCUUAAAGAGGAUGCCAUGUGCUUGUUCUACAGCUGCCUGUGGCCAUCAGGAAUGGAUGCACACGGAAGAGUCUGGGCAAACACAUGUCUGUAAGUAAGUUUGUGAUUUAAACAAAUCACCCUUGCGUUUGUGUUUGUGCCUCUAAACGGUAGGCUUCCUUUUGUAAUCUUGGCCUGAAAAAUAUGGUUAUUUUGGGCUGAGUUGGUAGUUAUCUGUCAAAC
rnacentral:lncRNA from 1 species